rnacentral:lncRNA from 1 species
AAUAUUUUAGGGGGUUAUCCGAACUUUGGCUAUACUUGAGCGUAGUAAUUUGGACUUUUCCUAUCCUAAAAUUGUUUUCUUUGAUAUUUGUGGAUUACCAGUUUAUCACUGGAGGAGCUUGAUUGUUUGAUUGUGUUUUUUACAUUUUAUUCUGUAGUGCCUCGCUCACACGGGUUCAGGCCGAAGAAUUUCCCGUUUGAUUGAUAUUUCGUUUUUUC